rnacentral:misc_RNA from 1 species
GAAAAUGAACAAAAAAAAAAAAAAUCAUGAUGCCCAUGGAUGAUGUCAUUGUCAAAACCUACAAUUUUAUUUGCCUAAUGCAGGACCUGAGUAAAUCACUGUCUUAGUAUACCUGAUUUGAUAAGGCAUUGAAGCAAGUUAUCCAAAUAUAAAAACAAAAAACAGCUCCGGGAUCGCAGACAGAUGAGAUGGAAUAGCUUUUCAUUAUAUACAAGAGCCAACAAUUACCCACAUCACACACACGCACACUGAGAUAUACCUGCGUGAGGCCGUUGCGGUCUCGCUAUCCUUUAGCUUCUGUUCUUGU